rnacentral:rRNA from 1 species
AGUUUGAUCAUGGCUCAGAACGAACGCUGGCGGCAUGCCUAACACAUGCAAGUCGAACGAGACCUUCGGGUCUAGUGGCGCACGGGUGCGUAACGCGUGGGAAUCUGCCCUUGGGUUCGGAAUAACAGUUAGAAAUGACUGCUAAUACCGGAUAAUGACGUAAGUCCAAAGAUUUAUCGCCCAGGGAUGAGCCCGCGUAGGAUUAGCUAGUUGGUGGGGUAAAGGCCUACCAAGGCGACGAUCCUUAGCUGGUCUGAGAGGAUGAUCAGCCACACUGGGACUGAGACACGGCCCAGACUCCUACGGGAGGCAGCAGUGGGGAAUAUUUUACAAUGGGCGAAAGCCUGAUCCAGCAAUGCCGCGUGAGUGAAGAAGGCCUUCGGGUUGUAAAGCUCUUUUACCCGGGAAGAUAAUGACUGUACCGGGAGAAUAAGCCCCGGCUAACUCCGUGCCAGCAGCCGCGGUAAUACGGAGGGGGCUAGCGUUGUUCGGAAUUACUGGGCGUAAAGCGCACGUAGGCGGUCUUUUAAGUCAGAGGUGAAAGCCCGGGGCUCAACUCCGGAAUUGCCUUUGAAACUG